UUAGGAUUUGAUUUAGGAUUUAGAAUUUGAUUAAGAUUUGAUUUAGGAUUUAGAAUUUGAUUAGGAUUUGAUUUAGUGUUAGGAUUUGGUUAGGAUUUGGUUUAGGAUUUAGAGUUUGGUUUAGGAUUUAUUAGAAUUUGAUUUAGGAUUAGGAUUUCGUUUAGGAUUUAGGAUUUAUUUAGGAUUUGAUUUAGGAAUAGGAUUUGGUUAGGAUUUGAUUUAGGAUUGGUUAGGAUUUGAUUUAGGAUUUAGAAUUUGGUUAGGAUUUUAUUUGAAUUUGUUUAGGGUUUAAGAUUUAGUUAGUUUUUGGCCUAAAUUUUGAAUGAAUUCUAAUAGAAUUUUAACUAGGAUUAAAUUAAGAUUGAAUUGAGAUGUAUUUGAGAUAUAUUUGUGA
rnacentral:lncRNA from 1 species